UAUCCUAUGCACCAAAUGACAUCUCUUUCUCUAUAGGAAUUGAUAUGCAUGUCAUCUCACUUUCUAUGAUUUUCCUAUUCCUAUAAAAUUCCUAUCAUAUGAACCAAAGAAGGCCUUAAAUUAUUGUCCUUGACCUCCAAUUUGAUCAUCAUCCCCACCCGGACCUCACUGGCACCCAAAUCCUAAACCUUGGUCAUCUGCCCAACUGAGUCCUAAUUAUUAUACCAUCCCAAUGUUCAAUGUACUAUCUCUACUCCUAAAGGUGGACUUGGUAGCUUCGCCUUCACGGUUUUUUUGCCUCACCUCCCACCAUCAUCUAUUUUCGUCUGUUCUUUUUUCCUCAUCUCCAUCCAACGCUCCACGCUGGUUUUUUACUCUCCCACCAACGCCUAGAACACCUACGCACACAUCUCUCUCACUCGCCUCUCCCCCAUCUCGCCUCUCCUUCUUGAGCCAUCGUUGCUGCCGUCCAGUACGGAUCACUUCCUCUACUGAUUGGCGCCGCCACAGCACAACCGGAUCCCAUCUGGCUCUCCUUUCCAACAUCCACCGGCAUCAUUGCUCCGCCCCCGCGCGCAGCCGCCCGGCUAACCUAACCGCGUCUAUCUUCGAUGAUGACCCCGACGCCGGCGCCUCCGUGUUACUCUCCCCGUUUGGCUCCCAAAAUCCCUCUGCCUCGCCGUCACGGAUGUCGAUGAUGACGCCUCCCUGAACCUCGACAGUUAGCCCUUUAAAUAGCAAGUGGGGGGUGUGUGUUGCAUCUGAUGUGCACGAGCUCAACCUGGCGAGCUCCUAGGAGAAGAAAAACGGAGCCACAACAGCCCUGGCGAGCUCGAGACGACGAAGGUGCCACAGGUGGUGUGGGAGAGGAGAUGGUCUCCAUCCGAGGUCCGAGGACCAGCCAUGACGUCGAGCUGCUGCAGCGUGGAGUCAGGAGUGUGUUCGCACCCCGGCGUGUCCCAGUAUGUGCUUUGGAAGACACGCGUCAAUCUCAACAGACCCUUAUGCGUCCACAUUAUUUUGCUUCAGAAACAGAUAGCAGCUCUCUGAUGUAGUAAGGAGAAACCAAGAAUGACAGAGCAUCCUCGUGUCAAACUCAACACACCCUGGCACUUCUCCAUUGUUUGAUUCAGAAACAGGCAGAAACAACUGCUAUCUCUGAAUUUAUUUGUUUCCACUAUCUCUGAAUUUAUUUAAGGUUGUUUCUCUUA